rnacentral:misc_RNA from 1 species
AACAAUGGUGGUCUGGAUUUUACUAAUAGUAUUCCUUGCACAAGCGGUUGCGGAGAAAAGGAUUUUACUGAACGAUCCAAACUUAGUUCAGUCACAGAUUCAUGCGCUUGAGAGAAAGAUGGAGGAUGUGGUUACUAAAAACUCGGAUCUUGCUGCCAAAUACAACGAUUUGUUCGCCAAAUACAACGAUCUGUCCACUAAAUAAACAGGUCAGUCCCUCCAGUUCACGGAUUUGUCUGCGAAAUACAGUACUCUGCUAACUAAAACCAACGGUUUGUCCACUUUAUCAUCGACAAUAUUUUUACAUUUUAUAAAUCGAUCUAGACAUGCGAUAUGUUAUAACGAAAAUGAUAGUAAUUUGAUAAGAUGUUAAGUUGCAUUGCAGCUUUAUAGUACAUGGUCAUAUUGACGAAAUUGGAAAAGUUAACAAUUAAAAUUUGCUUAAUUUU